AGAUUUUCAAGAGGUUAGUGGUAAUAGUAUAUGAACUUGAAGGACGGGGUUAGGGGUACGGUGUGUGCAAUGAGAUCGGCCUUAAUUUCAAUGUUCCCUGCCUCUGACCUCAAACCCUGCUGAUGGGGAUCUGGCUGUGCAAAGGCAAACAGUACUCAACAUGUUGAGGAAUUUCAGUGACUCGGCGGUUUGUCAGUUAGCACAUACUAUAAGAAGCUGCAAACUGUUGCUUUCGUUAGACCACCUAGCAUUAGGCAUCGAUCUUUUCGGGGUUUGUACGCUUGCCGCUCUGCUCUACGCGCCACGGACAGCCGCGUGUUGUUUGUGAUGCUAGUUUAACUCCAAGUCACUGUCAGGGAUGGAGACCAGCAGCGUCUCAUACGUGUCUUUUCCUUUUGAGAAACAUACGCCUCAAAUUUUGUUGUGCAUAAGCAGGAUUGAAAUAAGGGUUGCAUGGAAGCGUAACAGUAAAAAUGUUCAGUGCGUUAUCGUUUUUUUUACCGAAGUCAGCGGAAGAAGCCCCUACCUAUAUUUUUUUAUAAUUUUUU
rnacentral:lncRNA from 1 species